GCAUCAGUAGCGCAACGGGUUAGAGCACGCGCUCCCGAUAGUGUGAGAUGUGGGUUCGAGUCCCGGCUGACGCA